rnacentral:lncRNA from 1 species
ACAAAGCAACACUUUAUGCAACAUAUUUUUUUUUUCUUAGUUUUAAUUUUUUUUUUGUUUUAUUUUCUUGUUUAUCAUAAGACUCCUAAGGUAUUUUAUGUUUGUGUUGCGCAAUUUAAGGUCAUCAUUACUACCAUUUGAUCCGAAAAUCGAAAAAAUUGCAUGUGCUCUAAGAAAAGCAACUAGAGAAGCGAGUCAGGCUAAAGGAGAUU